CCUACGGGAGGCUGCAGUGGGGGAUAUUGCACAAUGGGGGAAACCCUGAUGCAGCGACGCCGCGUGAGUGAAGAAGGACUUCGGAUUGUAAAGCUCUGUUCUUGGUGAAGAUAAUGACGGUAGUCAAGGAGUAAGCUGCGGCUAACUACGUGCCAGCAGCCGCGGUAAUACGUAGGGAGCGAGCGUUGUCCGGAUUUACUGGGUGUAAAGGGUGCGCAGGCGGCGCUGCAAGUAAGACGUGAAAGGUAGGGGCUCAACCCCUAAACUGCGCUUGAAACUGUAGAGCUUGAGUGAAGUAGAGGCAGGCGGAAUUCCCGGUGUAGCGGUGAAAUGCGUAGAGAUCAGGAGGAACACCAGUGGCGAAGGCGGCCUGCUGGACUUUAACUGACGCUCAGGCACGAAAGCAUGGGUAGCAAACAGGAUUAGAUACCCUUGUAGUC
rnacentral:rRNA from 1 species